rfam:Trametes versicolor FP-101664 SS1 unplaced genomic scaffold TRAVEscaffold_2, whole genome shotgun sequence.
ACACUGAUGGUGAAACGGUAUCAUGCUUGCCUUCCACUCUUCACGGUAGCAAGCGGCGUGGGUUCGACUCCCGCUCAGUGUA